rnacentral:rRNA from 1 species
AAAUUGAAGAGUUUGAUCAUGGCUCAGAUUGAAUGCUGGCGGCAGGCCUAACACAUGCAAGUCGAACGGUAACAGGAAACAGCUUGCUGUUUCGCUGACGAGUGGCGGACGGGUGAGUAAUGUCUGGGAAACUGCCUGAUGGAGGGGGAUAACUACUGGAAACGGUAGCUAAUACCGCAUAACGUCGCAAGACCAAAGAGGGGGACCUUCGGGCCUCUUGCCAUCGGAUGUGCCCAGAUGGGAUUAGCUAGUAGGUGGGGUAACGGCUCACCUAGGCGACGAUCCCUAGCUGGUCUGAGAGGAUGACCAGCCACACUGGAACUGAGACACGGUCCAGACUCCUACGGGAGGCAGCAGUGGGGAAUAUUGCACAAUGGGCGCAAGCCUGAUGCAG